rnacentral:rRNA from 1 species
GACGAACGCUGGCGGCGUGCUUAACACAUGCAAGUCGAACGGAAAGGCCCUUCGGGGUACUCGAGUGGCGAACGGGUGAGUAACACGUGGGUGAUCUGCCCUGCACUUUGGGAUAAGCCUGGGAAACUGGGUCUAAUACCGAAUAGGACCACGCGCUUCAUGGUGUGUGGUGGAAAGCUUUUGCGGUGUGGGAUGGGCCCGCGGCCUAUCAGCUUGUUGGUGGGGUAAUGGCCUACCAAGGCGACGACGGGUAGCCGGCCUGAGAGGGUGACCGGCCACACUGGGACUGAGAUACGGCCCAGACUCCUACGGGAGGCAGCAGUGGGGAAUAUUGCACAAUGGGCGCAAGCCUGAUGCAGCGACGCCGCGUGAGGGCUGACGGCCUUCGGGUUGUAAACCUCUUUCAAUAGGGACGAAGCGCAAGUGACGGUACCUAUAGAAGAAGCACCGGCCAACUACGUGCCAGCAGCCGCGGUAAUACGUAGGGUGCGAGCGUUGUCCGGAAUUACUGGGCGUAAAGAGCUCGUAGGUGGUUUGUCGCGUUGUUCGUGAAAACUCACAGCUUAACUGUGGGCGUGCGGGCGAUACGGGCAGACUAGAGUACUGCAGGGGAGACUGGAAUUCCUGGUGUAGCGGUGGAAUGCGCAGAUAUCAGGAGGAACACCGGUGGCGAAGGCGGGUCUCUGGGCAGUAACUGACGCUGAGGAGCGAAAGCGUGGGGAGCGAACAGGAUUAGAUACCCUGGUAGUCCACGCCGUAAACGGUGGGUACUAGGUGUGGGUUCCUUCCUUGGGAUCCGUGCCGUAGCUAACGCAUUAAGUACCCCGCCUGGGGAGUACGGCCGCAAGGCUAAAACUCAAAGAAAUUGACGGGGGCCCGCACAAGCGGCGGAGCAUGCGGAUUAAUUCGAUGCAACGCGAAGAACCUUACCAAGGCUUGACAUAUACUGGACCGCAUCAGAGAUGGUGUUUCCCUUCGGGGCUGGUAUACAGGUGGUGCAUGGUUGUCGUCAGCUCGUGUCGUGAGAUGUUGGGUUAAGUCCCGCAACGAGCGCAACCCUUGUUCACUGUUGCCAGCACGUUAUGGUGGGGACUCAGUGGAGACCGCCGGGGUCAACUCGGAGGAAGGUGGGGAUGACGUCAAGUCAUCAUGCCCCUUAUGUCCAGGGCUUCACGCAUGCUACAAUGGCUGGUACAGAGAGUGGCGAGCCUGUGAGGGUGAGCGAAUCUCGGAAAGCCGGUCUCAGUUCGGAUUGGGGUCUGCAACUCGACCUCAUGAAGUCGGAGUCGCUAGUAAUCGCAGAUCAGCAACGCUGCGGUGAAUACGUUCCCGGGGCU